AGUUGUUCGGUCCCUCUUCUUACAAAGGAGCUCGCAUGCGCAACGUGGCUUUCGAUGUCGUUGAGUUGUUGACCUUGAGCUUCAACGAGUGCCGCCAUGUCCAAGAAUAUCUGAUGGAGUUCAAUCAGGUUCUUCUCUAUCUCCUUAACAGCAUCAUGCCUUUCUUGUAUUUCAGAAAUGGUGUCCAUAAUCUGACCCCUUCCUUGUUCUUGAAUAGCCCUUUGGAGAAAACUCUCGCUUUCUCCACUCGAGAUCAAGUUCUCGAUAGUGUCCUCAUCGGGUUUUUCCCCAGUAAUGGUAAAAUAUCUACGUUCCACCGUUUCUUUAUACUCCGAUUGCAUCUUUGCUCUUAACACUUGAAAAUUAUCCAUCAUAUCUUUCAGUUUCUUUCCCAACCCACUAACCACCGAUGUCCUAGUCCUAUCCGCAGACGAACCAGGGCCACAACCUGGAGUGUUCCGACUCACCGCAUUCGACUUUUCCAACGCUUCGAGCUUUCCUUUAAUGAUCUUCACCCGUUUAAGCACCUGUUCGACAUCGGUAUCCAUUCGCGAACGA
rnacentral:lncRNA from 1 species